rnacentral:rRNA from 1 species
AUACGUAGGUGGCGAGCGUUGUCCGGAAUUACUGGGUGUAAAGGGUGUGUAGGCGGGUAUGCAAGUCAGAUGUGAAAUACCGGGGCUCAACCCCGGGGCUGCAUUUGAAACUGUAUAUCUUGAGUGCAGGAGAGGAAAGCGGAAUUCCUAGUGUAGCGGUGAAAUGCGUAGAGAUUAGGAGGAACACCAGUGGCGAAGGCGGCUUUCUGGACUGUAACUGACGCUGAGGCACGAAAGCGUGGGUAGCGAACAGGAUUAGAUACCCUGGUAGUCCACGCCGUAAACGAUGGAUACUAGGUGUAGGGGGUAUCGACCCCCUCUGUGCCGGAGUUAACACAAUAAGUAUCCCACCUGGGGAGUACGACCGCAAGGUUGAA